GCAACCAUGUAUAUUCCAAGCGUGAUGAAGGGAUUAGAUCAUCGUAUCGUAAAUUAUGCUUACUUCCAACCGCAAAGGCAGACUUUCUUUUUGCUUGUCUCUUUGCUUCGAGGGCCAGCGAACUCUUCACUCUAUAUGACAGAAACAGCCUAGAAUCCAGGGGGAAAUUUGAAAGUCAAUCAAGGAAGGAACUGCAAGAUGGACAGAGCAAGGUCUCGUAGAAAUGUUGAGAUUCGUUUCUCGCAAAUUACGAGAUACGGAAACGUUUAAAGUCAUCUACAGGCGGAAAUCUGUUCAAGACAGUCGCGAACUUUAUAAUAUAAUGGAAUCGUUUUACAUAUUUGCGGACAAACAACACAACACAGUUUUCGUCUAUAAAUACGAAAUAAAAAAUUUAAAUAAAAAUUAUAUUAAUCCUUUCGAUACGAGUUGUUUUUUAACAUCGAUGAUAAAGAAAAUAAUCACAGACUUCGCUGGAUGCAUAAGCAUUCAUAGACAGCAUCAAUGGAAUUUUUUCUGAUGAAUAUGUACUUCUCCUGUAGGAAACUAUGAGAUGACUCGUUUGUUUGUAAGAAAUGUUCAAGAGCAGUUAUGAAAUCAUUUACGGAUUUCACUACGUUUUACAUAUUCGAAACUUUCCAUCUUUGCAUUUCUUUUCUGUCUCCCCUUUCUCAUGAAUACUUGAAUACAUGAUUUUUUCAAAUGCAAAAAAAAAGAAAAAAAAAAUGCUAAUUCGUAUAUUACAAAACUUCACAAAAAUAAUCGUAAGAAUCUGAUCUAUUUUUUCUCGUAUAUUUCCUUGUUUGGAAAAAGGAAUAAUUUAUGACUUGUAAUUUGUAAAAUUACGCUAAUAAUAUCAGUUUACUUGUACAAGAUGGCCACCAUACAGAUAUUUGUCACAUUAGAAAAUGUAGACCUAACCAAACAGGAAUAUUACACAUUACAAGUUAACGUACAUAUAUAUGUAGUAUCUAUUUACAAGUAUCGCAGAUUACCUCUUGAAAAGUAAGAAAACAUAAAGACUAAAGUAAAGUUGUAAAUCUAAACUACAGUUCAAGUUAUACAAGGCAUGCAAAGCUUCUCUUGAAACGUUAGGUGCGUACUUCGAUAUACAAUAUAAAGAAACAUAGUCCGCGAGAAAAGCUACAUAGUACAUACCAUACAGAUCCCUCGCCAUAACUUUGUCAAUAUGCGCAACGAAAUCGGUAAUUUUCGCGCCACCACUCAAACACCGUUUCUCUCGCUUUGGAUAAUUGAAUCAAAUCCAGAUCGUCCAUGUUUACAGCGAAGCAACACGUGAUACCGCCAAAAGUGCUUUCCACCCCCUCACAUAACUGACAUCGGCCGUCCGUGGAUCCAACGGAAGGAUUUUGAACGUUGGAGAAUGCGUAACGCUGAUUGGCUAUUGAGCUCGGGGGUCGAUCGUAUAAAGGGACGCCGGGUCGCAACGAGACUCACAGUACCGCUUCGACUGUGAACGCGAUAGGAAUUGGAUUGUCUAUUUUACAAAGCUCCUUUAUCUUUUGCAAUAAUUACAUUCGAAUGUCUUUUCAAGCGCUAACGAUAUAAUCGACGUUUGGUAAUAUCCAUCGACAAACGGGACAAUUCGGGUGUACAAUCUACGCCUAUAACUGCGCAGUAGGGCAUAUUGUCUCGCAAAGGCCAAAGCUGUAAAUCUUCGUUACUUAUACCGGUUUCAUGAAACGACGUUGCGACACAAUCUUCCAGUGUGAGUGGUAGCUUAUUCGGUACGAGAGACUUUUAUCGUGAAAGCUAUUUCACGAACAUAUUUACCAUGGUGUACAAAACGGUGGAAAAUUCAGGAGAUAAUUUUCACGAAAAAGAGAUAUAUCACGUAGAAACGUAUCAUCGAGAAAUAUAUAUUAAUUAUCGUUUGUUCUAAUAAAUAAUUAAUAAUUCAAUUACGAUACGCUUAUGGUCGAUUACAACUCAUUCGAAUACCUCGUAAUGAUUUAAACGAAGACGUUUAAAAGACAUGCAUUGCUCCUUCUAUCAGCUCGACCAUCGUUAAGAUUCUCUGAAAAAGAUCAUUCCGCGAGUAUAAAAAAUUACCUUCGUUAAGUCCACACCGUUCAUCAAGUCCGUUAAGAAGUUCAUCCUCCGAGGAAAUGUUUAAGACAGGGGAUCGAGGCAAAGCGUUCGAUGAAAGGACAAUUAAAGCGAACGCGUCCAAUGAAAACAUAUCAAAUCGAAUUCGUUGUUAACUAAUUUCUCGAAUUAUCGAAAAACAUCGCUUUAAUUGAUUUUCGAACGAAAUACAUCGGUUCGAGGGUUUCAGGGUUUCAAUUAGAUUGCCGAUGUUUAGAUAUUUAUGGAAAUUCGCGUAGCAUGAAAAAAAAAAGUAUACGCGAAACGUGAGAAGCGGAAAACACAUUGUAGAUGUGGCAAUAUCGAUAGUGGACGAAACAAAUUUUUAUUUGGCUCGCAUAUUUUUAUGGAAAUUCGUAAUUCCAUCGAUCCGAAAUUUUAUUAAAAAAUAUUUUUUAUCGCUUCGAUGAAGGUACGAAUGAAUUUACGCGUGAACACCCCUCUUAACGGGACCCAGAACUUGGCAGAUUUGUCAUCUAUUUUAAAAAACCUUCCAUCGUUCGAUUUGAUAGGCUGUUUCCCUUUUUGAUCUGGUAUUAAAAUAUUCCCUUUGCUCAGCCUGGAAGUGAUCUCCAAGUCACGGAAAUAAAACGAUAAAAGAAAAACAGAGCGCAGAUAAAAUUUUCCACGAAACGUUGGACAUGUCUUAUGCCGUUAAAAUUACUGAACCUGCUCGAACGAGCUGAAUAGCUUUUUUCGCAGCUGUACGACAAGUUGCACAUCGUUGCACGCCAUUUGUCGCGAUUAGCUGCCGCCGACUAAUGUGGAGAAUUUCGUACAAGUCGUUGACUCGCUGCUAAUUAAGAAGGCAAAGUUGCCGAGUAAGACGUCCGAAUUAUCUCCCUUUCUUUUUUCCCUUUUCCUAUCCAAACGAAACUGACAGUAUUAAAAAUGAACGUUUUGGCGGCGAAUAAAAAAGCUGAAACUGCGUUCCUACUAACGCGAUUCUUGUCGUGAUAACAAAACGCAAUUACUAUGCACGCCGAUUUAUUUAAUUUUGCUUCUCGUUGGAAUUUCUGAGAGAAAUUUUUAGUGAUAGUGAAAGUAGCGCAGGAUGACAGCUAAAACAACUUAAGGAAACUUCGACGAGUUAAAAAAAGGGCAGAAGUUUAUUCUACGUCGAAGAUAAUACCGAGCUUAAGCGGGCUUUAUCGCGAUAUCGUUUCACGUCAAAAUAUUUUUCUCAAUAACGUCAAAGUCUUACGUUCGUUUUUAAAAUCCUACAAUUUCGAUUUUCUUAACGUCUCGGAAGAUCGCAGAGGAGAAAAAGCGCGACAAGAAUAUUUUCAUUGACCUUUCCGCUUUGUGACCACCUUGUAAUUAAACGGAAAGAUUUUAAUACUCCAUUUAUUCCAUUCCUAGGAUUCCUGAAUUCCAUUCAUAGGAAAUUCGAAAUGGAACACGAAAAAAUAUUUAAAAUAUAUAAAGUAGCGUUUUCUACAGCAAUUGGUUGGUGAGGCAAUUUUCAACCGAGAUUCUACCUUUUUACAUUCUCCAAAAUAUGGAUCCGCGGUUUAAUUAGAAUUUAUUGGGAAGAAUAUGCAGAAACACGAUGCAAGGACGAGAUACAAGUUACGAAAGGAUUUGCGAGUAACUUACGAGUAGCUUAGCAGCUACGAUCUGUGAAAUUUCAACUUAGUAAAUCUUCUACACGAGGAAUAGCGAGAGACAGGAAUUUUGCGGAAUUGGUCUUGUCGAACUUGGAUUCGGCUUGGAUUAUUCGAUAGAAAGAGUGACGAUCUGUCGUGUGUAGCGGAAAAGCGUGUGAAGCUUUUCACAGAAUCGUCGCAAAGGGAAACGAUUAUCGCGUGAAUCGCUUCUCCGAGAUAUCGAAAGCUGCAUCAGACCUGUUUCGAAGAAAAAGAAUUUAACAUACCGUGUCCCUUAUCGAUCCGGAGCUUUCACGGGCAUUUAUCCGCCAACAAGAGAAAGCUUUCGCUUUCGAUAUUUCUAUCGGGCGCGGUGUGCGUUGUCCUGGAAAGCGGCCACGAGUUUAAAGCGUCGUUGAAAGGCGUAUUCGCAAGAAUUGUAAAGAUCAGAUCGCAAGCCGAAGGCAACGGGAAGCCGAUGCUGACAAAUGAUGUUCACCGUAAUAUCGUAACACGACGUAUUGUACGGGAUAUCGACGACGUUGUGUUCGUUACCGAUGUUUUCCAC